rnacentral:tRNA from 1 species
GGCCCUGUAUCCCAACUGGUAGAGGAACUGGAUUCAAAACUCAGUAGUUGUGGGUUCGACUCCCACUGGGGCCA